rnacentral:rRNA from 1 species
GCUAAACGCGAAGAACCUUACCAGGGCUUGACAUCCCGAGAAUUUCUCCGAAAGGAGAGAGUGCUUUUAGAACUCGGUGACAGAUGUUGCAUGGCCGUCGUCAGCUCGUGUCGUGAGAUGUUUGGUUAAGUCCCGCAACGAGCGCAACCCUCGUUCUAUGUUGCCAGCACGUAAUGGUGGGAACUCAUGGGAUACUGCCGGGGUCAACUCGGAGGAAGGUGGGGAUGACGUCAAAUCAUCAUGCCCCUUAUGUCUUGGGCUUCACGCAUGCUACAAUGGCCGGUACAAUGGGCUGCGAUACCGUAAGGUGGAGCGAAUCCCAAAAAGCCGGUCCAGUUCGGAUUGAGGUCUGCAACUCGACCUCAUGAAGUCGGAGUCGCUAGUAAUCGCAGAUCAGCAACGCUGCGGUGAAUACGUUCCCGGGUCUUGUACACACCG